rnacentral:rRNA from 1 species
USGGCNUAACCGNGNAACUGCAKUNAANACUGAUAGGCUAGAGUGUGCGAGAGRNAAGUGGAAUUCUCGGNGUAGCGGUGAAAUGCGUAGAUCUCNAGAGGAACACCGAUGGCGAAGGCAGCUUCUUGGCUUACUACUGACGCUGAGGCGCGAAAGCGUGGGGAGCAAACAGGAUUAGAUACCCUGGUAGUCCACGCUGUAAACGAUGAUCACUAGAUGUUAGUUCUGCUUAGCAGGAUUAGUGUCGUARCUAACGCGUUAAGUGAUCC